rnacentral:rRNA from 1 species
UACGUAGGUGACAAGCGUUGUCCGGAUUUACUGGGUGUAAAGGGCGCGUAGGCGGAUAAGCAAGUCAGUCGUGAAAUACCGGAGCUCAACUCCGGGGCUGCGAUUGAAACUGUUUACCUUGAGUAUCGGAGAGGAAAGCGGAAUUCCUAGUGUAGCGGUGAAAUGCGUAGAUAUUAGGAGGAACACCAGUGGCGAAGGCGGCUUUCUGGACGACAACUGACGCUGAGGCGCGAAAGUGUGGGGAGCAAAC